rnacentral:lncRNA from 1 species
CGUAUUAGGAAAGAGAAACGGCCGCAGAUACCUUCUGCUUCUCUUUCAAGCUCGUCGGGGGAUUCUACCUCCAAAGUUUCUCAGCAGUGUUGGUUCGAUGAGUAUGAGCGCAAGCUUCAAGAAAUCAACCAUCGACUCGCCUAACUUUAGGUGGAAGGUCGGAAGUCCUCCAACGACUACGACUUUCACACCAGCCAACCUCUCUCUCGGCACAUCUUGGAUGAACCGAUCCCAUCUCG